rnacentral:rRNA from 1 species
UACGUAGGGUCCAAGCGUUAAUCGGAAUUACUGGGCGUAAAGCGUGAGUAGGCGGUUUCGCAAGUCCGAUGUGAAAUCCCCGGGCUUAACCUGGGAACUGCGUUGGAAACUACGAAGCUAGAGUGCGGCAGAGGGGGGUGGAAUUCCAGGUGUAGCAGUGAAAUGCGUAGAGAUCUGGAGGAACACCGAUGGCGAAGGCAGCCCCCUGGGUUAGCACUGACGCUCAUACACGAAAGCGUGGGGAGCAAACAGGAUUAGAUACCCUGGUAGUCCACGCCCUAAACGAUGGCAACUAGUUGUUGGGGGAUGAACUCCCUUAGUAACGCAGCUAACGCGUGAAGUUGCCCGCCUGGGGAGUACGGUCGCAAGAUUAAA